UGAAUACGAGAUGCUACGGCGUCGAAGCAGUCUAUGUCAUACUUCCAAGAAAAGCUUGCACUGUCAUAAACAAAUAAUGCCUGUACCAUAACCGACACAGGUGGGUAGGUAGAGUAUACUAAGGGGCGCGAGAUAACUCUCUCUAAGGAACUCGGCAAAAUGACUCCGUAACUUCGGGAGAAGGAGUGCCUUAUUUAUAAGGUUGCAAUAACAAGAUCCAAGCAACUGUUUACCAAAAACACAGGUCUCCGCUAAGUCGUAAGACGAUGUAUGGGGGCUGACGCCUGCCCAGUGCCAGAAGGUUAAAGAAGUUGGUUAGCAUCCGCGAAGCUGAUAACUGAAGCCCUGGUGAACGGCGGCCGUAACGAUAACGGUCCUAAGGUAGCGAAAUUCCUUGUCGGGUAAGUUCCGACCCGCACGAAAGGCGUAAUGAUUUGGAUACUGUCUCGGAGAGGGGCUCGGUGAAAUAGACUUGUCUGUGAAGAUGCGGACUACCUGCACCAGGACAGAAAGACCCUAUGAAGCUUUACUGUAACCUGAAAUUGAAAUUGGACUUUACUUGCGCAGUAUAGGUGGGAGGCGUUGAGAAUAUUCUUGCGGGAUUAUUGGAGCCAUCAGUGAGAUACCACUCUUGUAAUGUUAGAUUUCUAACUUUGUAUCAUUAUCUGGUCAAAGAACAGUUUCAGGCGGGCAGUCUGACUGGGGCGGUCGCCUCCUAAACGGUAACGGAGGCGCACAAAGGUUUCCUCUGAACGGGUAGAAAUCGUAUCUAGAGUGUAAAGGCAUAAGGAAGCUUGACUGUGAGACCUACAAGUCGAGCAGGGACGAAAGUCGGCCUUAGUGAUCUGACGGUGCUGAGUGGAAAGGCCGUCACUCAACGGAUAAAAGUUACUCUAGGAUAACAGGCUGAUCUCCCCCAAGAGUUCACAUCGACGGGGAGGUUUGGCACCUCGAUGUCGGCUCAUCGCAUCCUGGGGCGGUAGUACGUCCCAAGGGUUGGGCUGUUCGCCCAUGAAAGCGGUACGCGAGCUGGGUUCAGAACGUCGUGAGACAGUUCGGUCCAUAUCCGGUGUAGGCGUUAGAAUAUUGAGAGGAGCCUUCUUUAGUACGAGAGGACCGAGAAGGACAUACCUCUGGUGUACCAGUUAUCGUGCCAACGGUAAACGCUGGGUAGCUAUGUGUGGAGUGGAUAACCGCUGAAAGCAUCUAAGUGGGAAGCCCACCUCAAGAUAAG
rnacentral:rRNA from 1 species